UUUCACACCUAUCAGAUCAUGAGCCAUUUCAAGCCUUGCACACCUUUGAGGCAUUGAAGCUAGCUGAAAGCCCAUCUUCCCUUAAAGGUUCCCCUAUUAGAGUUAGCAUUAUUAUAUUAGCAUUUAUUCAACAAUCUCAAUGCAAAUAAUCAAGCAACCUGUACCAAACCCUUAAAGGUUGUGCUUAAGUUUUGAUUGAUCCAUUUUCCGUGAAUCUCAAAAAGCUUUAU
rnacentral:lncRNA from 1 species